UACGUAGGGCGCAAGCGUUGUCCGGAAUUAUUGGGCGUAAAGAGCUCGUAGGCGGUUUGUCGCGUCUGCUGUGAAAGCCCGGGGCUCAACCCCGGGUCUGCAGUGGGUACGGGCAGACUAGAGUGCAGUAGGGGAGACUGGAAUUCCUGGUGUAGCGGUGAAAUACACAGAUAUCAGGAGGAACACCGGUGGCGAAGGCGGGUCUCUGGGCAACAACUGACGCUGAGGAGCGAAAGCGUGGGGAGCGAACAGG
rnacentral:rRNA from 1 species